AGAUUAUACCAAGGUUUAAAGUUUUCAAUUCUCUUUUAAGUUGAAUAUAUUUCAUGUUUAUUACACUAACUCAGUGUCCCAAUUUUCAGGAGAAAUAUGAUAUUUCGAAAAUUGAAAAUAGAUGGACUUUAAAAACAAUGCAGGAAGCUUGGAGAAGGCGUAAGUUUGAUUUGAAAACACACCACUUUGAUGCCUAUGGUAAUGAUCAAAUUUGAAUGGAGAAAAGGUCUAAUGAUGUUCCAAAAUCUCAAUUUAUGGAACUUCUUAGAUACUGGAACUCAGAAAAAUUUCAGGAAAAAGAGAGGGAAACUUAUGAUUCUCCAUCACUUAAGGAAUUUUUUGUGGUUAUAAGAAAAAGAAAACCCAAUCGAUCAUACACGGAUACAGAUGAAGAGUACAAUUGUUGAGAUGGAGAAUAUUAAAAUGCAACAAAAUGAAGAUGAUAAUGAGACGAUUGAUGCAUUUCCAUCUGUCAUGGGAUCGAAACAUCCUGGAUGUUUGAGAUUUUAUGGAAUAGGGUUACUAAAACUACUUUGAAAGGGAAAGUGGGACUUUCGAAGCCUCAUCAAAUGCAACAAAUAAGCUCGUGAAAAUAAUAAUAGAGAGAAUGCUAAGAAUGGAAGAAAAAAUUAACGAACAAAAGGAACAAUUUGACGAAAAAAAGACCAUGAUGAGACAAGAAAUUUUAGAAGAUGUCAUAACAAAAUUCCAUCGUUCAAGCCUACCAAUUGAUGUUAAUGUUCUAGCAACAUUACUUGAUGCUUCGUCAACACGACAAACAUCUAUUCGGCCAAUCCAUCGUCCAUCUAUACGUAGCAACAAUGAAGGUGAACAAAAUGAAAAAUGUGGGGAUGAAGGUAGUGAAGACCUUUACAGAGAAUUGCUUGAUCUACGUCUACAAACAUUCUAGGACUAUUUUUAAUUUUG